AGAGGCUUAGGAUAGCAUUACCAAACCUAGGACCUUCAAAGUCCUCAACGGGAGUGAAAACCUCCCAGCCUCUG
rnacentral:tRNA from 1 species